CCCCCACCACCUUCCCCUUGGCAACCACAAGUCUAUUCUCUAUGUCUCCAAGUCUGUUUCUGUUUCAUAGAUAGGUUCAUUUCUGCCAUAUUUUCUUUUUUCUUUUUUUUUUUUCUUUUUGCUUUUUAGGGCUGCACUAGCAGCAUGUGGAGGUUCCCAGGCUAGGGGUCUAACUGGAGCCACAGCUGCUGGCCUACACCACAGCCACAAUAACACCAGAUCAGAGCCACGUCUGCGACCUACCCCACAGCUCACAGCAAUGCUGGAUCCUUAGCCCACUGAGCAAGGCCAGGGAUCGAACCUGCAAACUCAUGGUUCCUAGUCGUAUUCGUUUCUGCUGCACCAUGAUAGGAACUCCCAUUUUUGCCAGUUUUAGAUUCCACAUCUUUCUCUUUCCAACUUACUUCACUUAGUAUGAGAAUCUCUAGCAGCAUCCAUGAAGGGGCAAAUUAAAAAAAAUUUUUUUAUUAAAGUAUAGUUGAUUUACAAUGUUGUACUAAGGACGCCAGCCUUUUAACUAACAGAUUGGUUGUUUAGAUUCUGACAAAUCCGGUCUGAACUUGUGUUAUUUGGAGAAGGACAAGUUUGGUUUUAUUCUCUCCCAUUUCUUACUCAGGGUUGAAAAAAAUGAGUGGUAGCAGAAAUCAUUCACCAUUAACAAAGCAUAUGCUAAACUUUUGGAUGGGAGUUAGGAAUCAGGUAGAAUAUGUGAAAAAGUAAAAAUAUAUGUAUGAAGAAGUCAUGUGUCUAAAAGCUGAGAGACUGCAGCCGACAAGGUCAGAAAGUCCCCAGGACUCCCCUUUACAUAAGGUAAAACUUGUUUCUGGAAUCAUCGGGCCCACACAUGGUUACUGUCAGAGACCUAGCUCUUUUAGAGACAUUCUUUUUAGAAAAUAGCAGGUGAUACUCACAAAGGAAGCACAAUUCUUUGGUUUGCAUCGCUUUCCACACCUCAUGGAAGUGACUUUCACAGUAAUUGGUUUAGAAUGGGGGCUGGGAAAGGGGUGAAGGCUAUUAGAUUGCAGAAAUUUGGAGUUUACAAUGGUCUCAUUUGAUUCCCCAACUCUCCACCCAGGAGUGAUGACACUCCUAGUAGCCCCUCAGAGCAGCCACCCCUCUCUAUGUGGGCCCUUCAGCUCCACCUCCUUAACAUACACAGCUCUGAGACAGUUCCUGAGUUGACCCCAAAUCCACCCCAUCUCAAUAUCACUUCUUUGGCUAGAAUUCACUUGACCUCAUCCCCUAAACAUAAUCACAGUUGCUAGAAGAUGAAUGAAAGAGAAAACAGGUAAGAGAAAGUUAAAGUUGCCCUGCACAGACCACACAUGGCAGAAUCUUCCAACACAGGUCUGUCCCCAAAAUCUUUCCUGUUGUUGAUUAUAUAUUUGUAGAGAAGAAAAGAAUCAGUUUGAAAACUUUCUGGAAACGUCCUCCUACACCAGAAUGUUGUGUCCAAAAGAACUUUAAUUUUUUAAAAAAAUUCCCUUGUUCCUAAAAGUUUACUUAGAGGACAAGGUAAAAUCAACAACAACAACAAAAAUCUCUUUAUAUCCUCAAAUUCAUAAAAUUCACCAUAAAUUAAAAAUAUUUCAGAGUUCCCUAUUGCGGCUCAGUGGUAAGAAACCUGACUAGUAUACAUAAGGACACAAGUUUGAUCCCUGGCCUUGCUCAAUGUGUUAAGGAUCCUGUGUUGCCCUGAGCUGUGGUGUAGGCUUGCAGCUACAGCUCUGAUUCAACCUCUAGCCUGGAAACUUCUAUGUGCUGAGAGUGUGGCCCUAAAAAGACAAAAAAAAAGAAAAAAAUCAUAAUGUUGUUGUUUCCACUCUUUCUCUUAAAAUUUAUGUGUGGCCUAAAAUAGUCAACAGAAGCCAUUUUCAGGAAUCAACUCACUGUAGAGCCCUGAACUGGGUAUUGUGAAAGACAGAAAGCAGUCAUGAGUUCCACCUGUGCCCGCUGGGUCAUUUCCACAUACACAGACUAUGGCACUACAUACAUUGCUUAAGGGAGGGAAUUCCAAGCCAGCCUCCCUGUGCCAAGGGAACAGGGUAUUUUUAGGACAGAUAAGUCAGUCCAUAUAAAGUUCUCUGAGCAGAACUUGACCAACAGUCAUAAAUGCUAGUCAUUUUUGCUGUUUUUAUUGAUUUCAGUCCAAUUGCAGGAUCUGUAAAUUAUUCAGGAAUCAAUUCCUGGAUUGUACAUUACUCUGACGACAUUUUCAACAUUCAGUUUCAUGCUUCUUGGAUGAGUUUGCUACUUUUUGAAAAUGACCUCUAGGAUGAAGAAAAGAUGAAAUUAAAUGGAAUCCAUUUUCUUCUUUCUGGGAAAAAAAAAAAAACCAAAAAAACAAAAACCACAAAUGGCCUAGGAAGGGCGCUUCCCCAAAUAAGGCCAGUGGGUGAGACAUGGCUGGAUAGAACUGCCAGUCAUCAAGAAGUUUGACUUGAUAUGAAGAGCCCCAAGGAGCCACCAAAGGAUUUUCAGCAGAGCAUAUUCAGCUUUGUGUAAUAGGGGAUGUGGUGGGCAGCCUCCAAGAUGGCACCAGGGAUCCAUGCAUCCCGGUAUUUAUGCUAUGUGGUCCUCUCAAGUAUAGACUGGUGUUUCUAGUGACUGCUCCUAAUGAUGAAAAUACAGCAAAGGGGAUGGGAUGACACUUUCAAGAUUAGGUGGCUCCACAUUUCAUCCUGGAUGCCUCUCAUCCUUUCCCUCAUCGCACCAAUGGAAGCCAACUGCCAAGGUGUGAGCUGCCCAAUGGAGAUACACAUACGGGAAGGAACUGAUGACUCCAGCCAGCAGCCAUGCAGGUGAGCUUGGGAGUGGAUCCUUCCCCAGUUGAGGUUUCAGAUGAUGAAGUCCUAUUAACACCUACUGCAGCUUUAGAGAGACCCCAAGUCAGAGACCCAGAUUCCUAACCCAUAAAAAUGGGGAGAUAACAAAUGUGUGUUGUUUUAAACUAGUAACUGUUGGGAUCAUUUGUUAUGCAGCAGUAGAAAACUAAUACAGAUAAUUAUUCUGGCUGGUGUGGGUAAUACAUUGAGGAAAAGAGGUAAGACUGGAAGGAGGAAGAUCAAUAAAAUCGCAGCCACAAAUGCUGCGAUCAGCUGCCACAUCAGCAUCAUCUUUUUAAAUAUUCCAUUACUCAGACAUAUGAUAAUUUACUGACACGGAAUUUUCAGACUUUUUACUGCCAUAACCCUCCAUCUAGCUAAAACUUUGUUCACAUUCAUAUUAAUUUCCCCGGGGUAAUUUUUAGAAGUGAAACUUCUAGGUCAAAGGCUAUCAACAUAUUGAAGGGUUUUGGUAAGUGCCACCAAAUUGCCCUCUGAAAUGGUUGUAGCAAAUAUAUUUCCACCAGCAAUAUAUCAUAAAACUUUUUCUCCACCUGGUUGUCAGCUCUGAGUAUAAUUUAAAAGUAUUUAAUCCAAUGAAUAUUUUAUUUUACUAUGAAUUCUUUUGAAUUCAAGUAAGGUCACACUUAUGUUACUAGGUGUUUCCACUUCUGGCAAGAAUUGCUUACUUAUGUCUUUAUUGCGAAGGAUCAUUAAUUAUAGAUAAUUUGCUGUUAGAAAAUCAACCCAGUUCAGCUAUAGUGGCCCAUGGCCAGGAGUAACAGCUUUGCCCUGGGGCUCCAAUCGGCCUGUUGUCUGUCACUGAUGUGGAAAUUUAUGGAGCAUCUCAGUUGAUGGCAUACCUUCUGGAUAAAUUAAUUGGGGAAGUUUUGCUACCGGAAGCAUUGAGGUCACCCAGAUGGUGCUCAACAAGGGGGCGCUUUCAGCCACUUCCCCUGGAUGGCCCCCCCUGAUCCCCAGGUAUAGACUGUCCUUAGCCCCACACAGCACACACUGACCAGGGAGAAGUGACCUGCUCCAUUCCUCUUCUACAGCAUGCAUCUCUUGCAGCAUCUGCCCCAGUCCUGCCCCUACCAAACCCUCCACCAGGCUGGCGGUACAGCUACUCCUGGCAUACAACAGGGGAUUCAACAAACUACAGGAAGCUUCUGCUGCCUUCAUGCUUGAACUUUUGGCAUGAGGCCCCCAAACAUGAGGCAGCUGGUAUUUCAGGGGAGCCUCCACAAGGAUGGAUGGGCCUCUUCAUACAAAAUGCCACAGUGCAGAAGGGUGUGCGAUGCCAUCACAGGAAGCCCUUUGCAGUGCCCACCCUUUCGCCCUCAGGACCUGGACUGAGCUGCCUGGGCGAGGGGAGGGGGCCGCCCGCUGCCUUUGCCCCUCUGAGUCACUGAGGGAAUGACGGGUGGUGGUGGGUAGGAGAGAAUGCAGAGGCUGAAUGCCCAGAUGUGAUUUCUCACCCGGAAAGCUCUCCAGGCCAGCUGCUGACCUACUUGGGACAGUCCUUUGUGCAUUCAUGAUGAACAUUCUGAAAAGACCUGUUGUCGAAUUCUUCUGCUAUUUUGCAAUGUCUACAGACAUGGUGCUCUGAAGUGGCAAAUGAGGCCCAGCUUUGACAAAGCUCCUUUAUCCCCCAGGAGGCCAAGGGAGUCAGACGCACUUGGAGAGGUGAAAGGUCCCAGAGCAUCAGGAUGCUCGCCUGGUGCCUGGCAGGAGGGGAGGCUGUAGCCAGAAUGUUCCUAGUUCCUCACGAAUGAACUGGGCGCUCGUGGGUGGGGUGGGAUUUAACCAGCACAGCAACAAGUCUGUCUUGCUCUGCUAGGAAGCACUUAGCAAAACCCAAUAAGGAUAGAAUUCCACGCUCGCAUAUCUGUGAACGUGCCAGAUUGAAGAAAGAAACAUGGAGUUCCCAUUGUGGCUCAGGAGUAACAAUGCCAGCUAGUAUUCAUGAGGACACAGGUUCAAUCCCUGGCCUUGCUCAAUGGGUUAAGGAUCCAGCGUUUCCAUGAGCUGUGGUGUAGAUCACAGACGCAGCCUGGAUCCCGCAGUGCUGUGGCUGUGGUGUAGGCUGGCAGCUGUAUCUCUGAUUUGAUCUCUAGCUAAGGAACUUCCAUAUGUUGCAGGCGGGGCCCUUAAAAAAGGAAGGAAGGAGGGAAGGAAGGAAGAAGGAAGGAAGAAAUAACAAACAUACAAGACAUGAUUUCAAUUUAAAUUUCAACUAAAUUAAUCAUUUUCAGUGUAGUAUAGCUCAUGCAUGCUUUUUUAGUAUAAUGAUUUUUUUGUACUAAAAACUCGUAAUGUUGAUACAACAUAUGUGGGAUGCCCAUGGAAGGACUGCUCAUGAUAGAUGCUUGAUAACUUGUAGUUUUGGCUAUCACAGAUUAAAAUUUCCAGGAGGCUCUCCCCCAUCAUCAGAAGAUAAUCUAAACUAGAGAGCCCUGGUUCUUGGUUUAAUAUUGCCUGUCUUUGAAGUAAAUAUUUUAGGAUCCCUAAUUCAAUAAGCUGUCAUAGCAUCACAGCCAUGUAUGGGUAAUAAAAGGAACAGAUAAACAGAUCUCAAGGUCACAUACAUAAACUUAAAAAGAAACACUUGGAAAGGACUGCAGAAGGCAUGAAAAGAAGCAGUCUAUCAUAUAAGGACAAAGCUCCAAGAAUACAUUUUUAUGAUGCAUUUUUAUUAUUUAGGACCAUAUUUAUACAUGCCUAUUUUCUUUUGCCCUGGUAUGGGUCACUCAAAGGGCCCACUUUCAUGGAUUCUCCAUUUACAAAUUUUUUUUAAUUUUUAUUUUUUGUCUUUUCAGGGCUGCACAUGCAGCAUAUGGAAGUUCCUAUGCUAGGGAUCAAAUCAGAGCUGUAGCCAUUGAUCUACACCACAGCCGCAGCAACACAGGAUCAAAGCCAAAUCUGCAACCUACACCACAGCUCAUGGCAACACUAGAUCCUUAACCCAUUGAGCGAGGCCAGAAAUCGAAUCUGCGUCCUCAUGGAUCCUAGUCAGAUUUGUUUCCGCUGAACCACAAUAGGAACUCCUACAAAUUUUAAGAUUUUUUAUUUUUUCCAUUAUAGUUGAUUUAUAAUGUUCUGUCAAUUUCUGCUGCACAGCAAAGUGACCCAGUCUGAUACAUACAUAUAUAUAUUCUUUUUCUCACAUUAUCCUCCAUCACAAGAGACUAGUUAUUCUUCCUUGUGCUAUACAGCAGGAUCUCCAUUUACAAAUUUUAUAUGAAGCCCCAAACAGCUGCCAGUCUCCACUUGAACAUUCUGCUCUAGGAUAUGCAAUCAACAGAAACCCUGUUCAAAACCCAAAGAGAAGGGAUAGAAUGGCUUUGUUUGUCAUUUUGAGUCCUGCCACACUUGUCUUGAGCCAGCUGACAAAUAGGCCCCAGUGGGGUUGAAUCCACUGCCUAUGCAGGUGGUGGGUAGGGACAGUUGCAUUGAGAAGACUGUCUCCCAAAUAUUUUGUCCCCAAAAGUACCCCUCACAGUCUAGUAAAUCAAUUGCAGAAACACAAAGGGGAAGAAACUGCAACUUGCCACUUGAAAAGUGACUUGAGGUUUCAUCAACAGUAAACCCAGGGAGUUCUCAUUGCUGCUCAGCAAGUUAAGAACCCAACCAGUAUCCAUGAGGAUGUGAGUUUAAUCCCUGGCCUCACUCAGUGGGUUAAGGAUCCAGUAUUGCCAUGAGCUGUGGUGUAUGUCAGAAAAGCAGCUCGGAUCCAGUGUUGCUAUUGCUGUGGCUGUGGCAUAGGCCAGCAGCUGCAGCACCAAUUUGACCCCUAGCCUCCUGGGAACUUCCUUAUGCUGCAGGGACAGCCGUAUAAAA
rnacentral:lncRNA from 1 species